rnacentral:rRNA from 1 species
CGGGAAACUGGGGAUAAUACCGCAUACUCCCGAGAGGGCAAAGCAGCAAUGCGCUGUGAGCAGCGUCCGCGGCCGAUUAGCUUGUUGGCGGGGUAAAAGCCCACCAAGGCAACGAUCGGUAGCCGGCCUGAGAGGGCACACGGCCACACUGGCACUGAAAUACGGGCCAGACUCCUACGGGAGGCAGCAGUGGGGAAUCUUGCACAAUGGGGGAAACCCUGAUGCAGCGACGCCGCGUGAGUGAUGAAGCCCUUCGGGGUGUAAAGCUCUUUCGACGGGGACGAUAAUGACGGUACCCGGAGAAGAAGCUGCGGCUAACUACGUGCCAGCCGCCGCGGUAACA